CGAAGGGUGCAAGCGUUGCUCGGAAUUAUUGGGCGUAAAGGGUGGGUAGGUGGUCUUGUUUGUCUAAGGUGAAAUCCCCGGGCUUAACCUGGGAACUGCCUUGGAAACGGCAAGACUGGAGUGCUAGAGAGGGUCGUGGAAUUCCUGGUGUAGCGGUAAAAUGCGUAGAUAUCAGGAGGAACACCAGAGGCGAAGGCGGCGGCCUGGCUAGCAACUGACACUAAACCACGAAAGCGUGGGGAGCAAACAGGAUU
rnacentral:rRNA from 1 species